rnacentral:rRNA from 1 species
AGCGAACGCUGGCGGCAGGCUUAACACAUGCAAGUCGAGCGGGCACUUUCGGGUGUCAGCGGCGGACGGGUGAGUAACGCGUGGGAACGUGCCCUCUGGUUCGGAAUAACUCAGGGAAACUUGAGCUAAUACCGGAUACGCCCUUUUGGGGAAAGGCUUGCUGCCGGAGGAUCGGCCCGCGUCUGAUUAGCUACUUGGUGAGGUAACGGCUCACCAAGGCGACGAUCAGUAGCUGGUCUGAGAGGAUGAUCAGCCACACUGGGACUGAGACACGGCCCAGACUCCUACGGGAGGCAGCAGUGGGGAAUAUUGGACAAUGGGCGCAAGCCUGAUCCAGCCAUGCCGCGUGAGUGAUGAAGGCCUUAGGGUUGUAAAGCUCUUUUAUCCGGGACGAUAAUGACGGUACCGGAGGAAUAAGCCCCGGCUAACUUCGUG